AGAAACUCUCAAGUCCCAACCUAUCGAUCGCAUCUGUAAUUAGGGUUUUCAUCUAGCGAACCAAAGUUGUAGCCGAGGAAGUCGACGUGUUCGAGUCACAGAAGCUUGAAGAACCUUACUAAGCAUCGAUGGUGAGUCAACCCUUGUCUGAUUUCUUCAACAUGUUGCGUGCAAAGAAGAAGAAGCUUAAGAUACUAUGGGCGAUAUCUAGAAUAGAAGAUAACACUGCUGUUAUGGAAUCAAACAUAAUAAGAUACCGCAAGGGGAUAGCAACAGCGGAGAAGGCACUCAUGACGGCGACGGACGCAUGGAUCGUUCAGUGGAACCUGAACGAGAAGCAUUUUUAUGAAGGUUUAAUCCAUACUACUGAGGCUGCCAUCUUUGUUAGCAAAGCAAAGGUUAGUUCCUUACAAAGCUUGGUGGAUCAAAUUGACGGUUCAGAGGAGGCUUGACGGUGGCUAAGCAAAUAUUAUAGGCUACGUACUAAUCCCAUAGUUUAGUGCGCGUGUAAAAGAUUUUAUUUUCUAUAUAUAUGAAUUUGCUCUA